GAAAGGCAGAUGUCUGACUUUUAUUCUCUUCAAAACAAGAAUUAAGAUACAUGUGUUGGAAGAAUAUUACUGAAGUCACCCAAAGUAAAAUGAAUGGAUAUGUUCCCAUUCCUGUGGAAAAUUUUGGAGGUACCUCACAUAAUUUAUAAUUGAUUUUCCACUGAACUGUUGAGGAAUCACUUUUGCUUCUGUUGCUAAAAUGCAGAACCAGCAAAAAACCUGCAGAACAUCUUGGCAAAUUCUUCAGAAAUUACCUCUACCUCAAAAACCUGAAAAAUCUGCAAACGCAAUCUGUCCUUUUGGAGCCAGUGAUUCUCUUUGACCCAAAUUUGUACCCAAGGACACUGCAUGCAGAACAUCCACACCAUGCAAAAUUUUACUGUUUUC